CCUACGGGGGGCUGCAGUGGGGAAUCUUGCGCAAUGGGCGAAAGCCUGACGCAGCAACGCCGCGUGUGUGAUGAAGGUCUUCGGAUCGUAAAGCACUGUCGGCAGGAACGAAGGUUACCAACACUAAUAUGGUUGGUGAUUGACGGUACCUGCAAAGGAAGCACCGGCUAACUCUGUGCCAGCAGCCGCGGUAAUACAGAGGGUGCAAGCGUUGUUCGGAAUCAUUGGGCGUAAAGCGCACGUAGGCGGCUUCGCAAGUCAGGUGUGAAAGCCCG
rnacentral:rRNA from 1 species